rnacentral:rRNA from 1 species
GUUUUCAUUAAUCAAGAACGAAAGUUAGGGGAUCGAAGACGAUCAGAUACCGUCGUAGUCUUAACCAUAAACGAUGCCGACCAGCGAUUAGGAGACGUUGAAUACAAAACACCUCUAUAUAUAAUUCAGUAUAUGGUCAGUCAAAUGAUUGUAUAUUGUUUGUAUAUAGUUACGGUGAAUGACUCCCCUAGAGCUUGUGAGAA